ACCUGUCACAGGUGAGAUUAGAACAGGUAACUUCCGGUCUUUCCUGUUGGGAGAAGUGUCAUGGCGUCUUAAUUGUUGUGACUAAUAAAUAUUUGAGAUAUUUAAAAAGAGAAAUUUGAGAAAAUCAGAGAAGAUGGGACUUAAAAUUCAAAAUUUUUGUGCGUCCACACCUUUGGCAUUAGGAUCAGUACUAUUGGCAAUCAGUUGCCUGGUUCUGGUAUUGUCUGGAUUUUUGCCAUAUUGGUUUAUAAUUCGUAUUAAUCCAAAUGAUGCAGCUUAUGGCGUUGAAGGGAAACCUGAGAGUUACUCUAUUUCAAGUGGUUUAUUUUUCAUGAAUUCAGGUGAAAACAAAUACCAGGAUAUGGUAUUUCUGAAUAAAAUUACCAAUCACCAAUUUGCUCCAAAAUCAAUAGUUGCCGGUCAGGUUUUCUAUAUAUCUGGUGUCACUGGUCUAUUGGGCUGUACAGUAGCAGCAUUUAUUCUGGCAUGCCGUGAACUGGGUUCUGUCGUUGGGGAAUUUUUCUUGGCAGGGUUUGUAACUAUUUCAUCUCUAUGUGUGGUAUUAGGAGUUAUUUUUUCAGCCUUUGUGUUUUUAAACCCGGAUGAUAGUGAAUGGAUCAACCUGCCCAUGCACAGUCCUUCUCGUGUUUCUUCCAAAAUAUCUCCCGAGGGUAUAGAUAUAGACUGGGUUUACUAUAUAGCCAUCAUUGGAGCUGUUACAACUAUUAUUGGGGUGAUAUUUAUAUGGAUAGAAGCCUUAAAGACUUGUCGCUAUGUAGAGGAUAUCAGACAGAAGCAGUUAAUGGACCCAAGUUACGGGAGAACCGAAGACAUAGCCUAUACUCAGUUCACAUAUGAACAAUCCUAUCCAAAGUCAUAUCAAGUUACUGUACCAUCUGCUCAGCCUCAACGACCAGUUUAUUAUGGACAGGAAGAAGUGGAGAUUGCGAAUGUUUCAGGUUUUCAAGAAGUUAAUAUUUAAGAGAGCAAGGUUUUGUUUUUUUUAAAUUUUUACCAUGGGUUCAUAUUUCAGUAAAAGUUUGGUCAAACUGAAUAAACAUUUGAAAUAAUUCACAAUUUUGUUGUGCAGAUCUUAACAUGGAAAAAAUAAUAAAUAUAUGAUCUGUUUAAAUUCAUACUAUGGAAAAAUCUUUUAAAAGAUUUUAAUGGCCUAUCUUUCAGUGUCAGAAAAUGCAUCCAAAUGUUAUAGGUAUCUAAAUAUUGUUCAAUAGAUAAGGCUAUUUAUAAAAUUUAUACGAAGAGAAUAUUAGAACUAGCUAAUGUUUUUUUAAGAGAAUGUAAUUUUGUACAUUCCAGAAAUAAUUUUACUUUGUACAUAGUCUUUUAUAAGGCAAAAACAUUUUUAUAAGCUGAAGUAGCUCUUGCCUAUAUUAUUCAUUUAUAUAAAUAACUUUCAUUACUGGACAUAUGCAUUAAAUUUUUACACAUUUUUCAUUUCAAGAUGUAACAUCAUAUAAUUAUAUAUAUGUAAGAAAAGGUCAAUAUUGAUAUAUCCUUCAUGUGUGGGAUUUGAGGUGCCUGGAUGUUUGGCAAUCUGAUGUCACAUCAUCUGUUGCUAGAAAAAGCUAUAAGCACCACCUAGUUUCUUGGAUGGCACCGACUCACGAACCAGGAUGCCCUUUGUUUAAUUCAGUUGUUGGCCAAGAAAGUUCCUAGGGUUUUUUCAGUCUUGAUUUGUGCAAGAAAGUAAAGACUUUGAAAUAAUCAAACUAUGUGUGAAUUGAUGUUACUGAAACCUCAACUGUUUCAAUUAUUGAAUUAAGAUCGUUUUAAAUCGUUGAGCAAAUUAUUUUACCUUAUUAAAUAAGAAACUGGAAAAAUUUGUUUCAUAUUUAUACAUACAAAUAAUCCAUUUUAAAAAGCGUCUCCUACAUUUUAUUGGAGGUUGUUAUUAAGUGACAGAGUGUUGGCUUUAUUAGGUUGAAUAUGGUACAUGUAGGAGCAUAAAAUUUUCCACAAUUUCAUCUUCAUUGAUUCUUUGAUAUAUUGUACAGUAAAUAUUUUAUAUAUGUAUGCAUUCCUAUAGUUAUUUUCAUAUAUCAAUUUAUAUACCGGUACAUUAAAAUUUGUAAGAAAAAUUA